rnacentral:rRNA from 1 species
UACGUAGGGGGCAAGCGUUGUCCGGAAUUAUUGGGCGUAAAGAGCUUGUAGGCGGUUUGUCGCGUCUGCUGUGAAAAUCCGGGGCUCAACCCCGGACUUGCAGUGGGUACGGGCAGACUAGAGUGUGGUAGGGGAGACUGGAAUUCCUGGUGUAGCGGUGAAAUGCGCAGAUAUCAGGAGGAACACCGAUGGCGAAGGCAGGUCUCUGGGCCACUACUGACGCUGAGACGCGAAAGCGUGGGGAGCGAACAGG